GCCUAAUACAUGCAGUCGAACGCGUUGGCCCAAUUGAUUGAUGGUGCUUGCACCUGAUUGAUUUUGGUCGCCAACGAGUGGCGGACGGGUGAGUAACACGUAGGUAACCUGCCCAGAAGCGGGGGACAACAUUUGGAAACAGAUGCUAAUACCGCAUAACAACGUUGUUCGCAUGAACAACGCUUAAAAGAUGGCUUCUCGCUAUCACUUCUGGAUGGACCUGCGGUGCAUUAGCUUGUUGGUGGGGUAAUGGCCUACCAAGGCGAUGAUGCAUAGCCGAGUUGAGAGACUGAUCGGCCACAAUGGGACUGAGACACGGCCCAUACUCCUACGGGAGGCAGCAGUAGGGAAUCUUCCACAAUGGGCGCAAGCCUGAUGGAGCAACACCGCGUGAGUGAAGAAGGGUUUCGGCUCGUAAAGCUCUGUUGUUAAAGAAGAACACGUAUGAGAGUAACUGUUCAUACGUUGACGGUAUUUAACCAGAAAGUCACGGCUAACUACGUGCCAGCAGCCGCGGUAAUACGUAGGUGGCAAGCGUUAUCCGGAUUUAUUGGGCGUAAAGAGAGUGCAGGCGGUUUUCUAAGUCUGAUGUGAAAGCCUUCGGCUUAACCGGAGAAGUGCAUCGGAAACUGGAUAACUUGAGUGCAGAAGAGGGUAGUGGAACUCCAUGUGUAGCGGUGGAAUGCGUAGAUAUAUGGAAGAACACCAGUGGCGAAAGCGGCUACCUGGUCUGCAACUGACGCUGAGACUCGAAAGCAUGGGUAGCGAACAGGAUUAGAUACCCUGGUAGUCCAUGCCGUAACGAUGAGUGCUAGUGUUGGAGGGUUUCCGCCCUUCAGUGCCGAGCUAACGCAUUAAGCACUCCGCCUGGGGAGUACGACCGCAAGUUGAAACUCAAAGGAAUGA
rnacentral:rRNA from 2 species